rnacentral:rRNA from 1 species
GACGGAGGAUGCAAGUGUUAUCCGGAAUCACUGGGCGUAAAGCGUCUGUAGGUGGUUUAAAAAGUCUACUGUUAAAAAUUGAAGCUUAACUUCAAAGAUGCCGUGGAAACUUUUAAACUUGAGUAUGAUAGGGGUAGAGGGAAUUUCCAGUGGAGCGGUGAAAUGCGUAGAUAUUGGAAAGACCACCAAUGGCGAAGGCACUCUACUGGGCCAUUACUGACACUGAGAGACGAAAGCUAGGGGAGCGAAUGGG